GACGAGCGCUGGCGGCGUGCCUAAUACAUGCAAGUUGAGCGCUGAAGGUUGGUACUUGUACCAACUGGAUGAGCAGCGAACGGGUGAGUAACGCGUGGGGAAUCUGCCUUUGAGCGGGGGACAACAUUUGGAAACGAAUGCUAAUACCGCAUAAAAACUUUAAACACAAGUUUUAAGUUUGAAAGAUGCAAUUGCAUCACUCAAAGAUGAUCCCGCGUUGUAUUAGCUAGUUGGUGAGGUAAAGGCUCACCAAGGCGAUGAUACAUAGCCGACCUGAGAGGGUGAUCGGCCACAUUGGGACUGAGACACGGCCCAAACUCCUACGGGAGGCAGCAGGAGGGAAUCUUCGGCAAUGGAGGAAAGUCUGACCGAGCAACGCCGCGGGAGUGAAGAAGGUUUUCGGAUCGUAAAACUCUGUUGGUAGAGAAGAACGUUGGUGAGAGUGGAAAGCUCAUCAAGUGACGGUAACUACCCAGAAAGGGACGGCUAACUACGUG
rnacentral:rRNA from 1 species